GGAACUUGUCCAACUUAGAGUACCUUCAGUUGUUUGGGAAUUCCCUUGUUGGGGAAAUCCCUCCUGAACUAGGCCGCUGCAAGAACCUUGCUCAUCUCGAACUAUACAGCAAUCAGCUCUCUGGAGCCAUUCCCUCUGAGCUUGGAGAUUUGGUGUAUUUAGAAACGCUGCGGUUGUAUCAAAAUAGGCUAAAUUCCACAAUUCCACUCUCCUUAUUCAAGUUGACUUCAUUAACCCAUUU
rnacentral:misc_RNA from 1 species